rnacentral:misc_RNA from 1 species
UCACGAUCGGGAUCUCCAGUACCUGUCACCUCCUUCGUCCAAACAGACACUUAUGUAGCUUGAAAUACUACCAUUUCUAAGGCAGCAGCCUUCGGAGGGUUGAAAAACUGCAACAGCUGAACUUGCUCUACCAUUCAAAUGCAGCCUCAGAAGGUUCAAAAACUGUCGGCUGAUCUUGCUGUAUUAGAGUAUAAAUUAUACAGCUCUCUCCGCGCCCUUAGAAUAUUUAUUUAAAAUAGUGUUUGUGGUAAUUCAUCAAGACCCUGAAAUUUUUGACAGGCUCAGGAAGAUUUUUGGGACGUAAACACAUGUUGGUUGUGUGCCAGUAAAAAUUAAAGAAGAGUGAAAAAAAUUCCAAUUCUCAUAAGAAGCUUGAAAAGUUCCAGUUCAUGAAAGGUUUCUGCAUCAUAAAACACACACACAAGCUGUGUGUUGCUGCCUAUUCAAAAUCAAUACAGAAUUCUAAUACAACGAAUAAUAUUAACUCUGCAAAGUAAAACUUGAGUCGGGAAAGUUCUUUGGCUAUUAAGUUCUGAUUCUGGAAGCCCGAAAAGCCACAAGCUAAAAUUCUACAAUCCACAAGCUAAAAUAGCACACAGCAUUCUUCCAUUCUGAGCCAUGAAAAUUCAGAUGAGGGACUCAAAAUUUCCAAAGAUUUUCCCCAAGAAAUGAUCGGACCGAGAUGCUUCAUCCCCUUUAAACGAUCAUCAAACUAAGAAGAAUGACAUAGUUUAGUGACACAACUAUAUGCAGUUUAGUGACACAACUAUAUGCAUAUUUUUCUUCAGACUCUUGAAUUCCAUCUGCGUAUCUCACCAAAGAAUUACAUUUCAACCAUUUUAUUGGACAGAAAAAGAAACAAGCUUAAAUUUCCAUAUAAAGAACACAAAUCAGGCUAUAUACCUUGAGCAGUGUACCAUUUUGUGUUGGGUCCCAUAAUUGCCAAGUUCUACCUUGGCAAAAUCCAGUGUCCCAGAAGCAUCUCCCUGAUUUAGAAGCCGCAGAGGAUGAAUUUAGAGGCAGGAAAGACCAACCCUGAGAAGCAAAUAAGACAGAUAUUAAUCAGAUACUGUGAACACCAAGUGAGUGGCUUCCAUUUGAUCUCAACACUGGAGCUUUUCAUUCUCUUCGCGCUCUGUGGCUCCUUGGACAAAUCGAAACUCGACCCUUUCAUUCUCAGCUCUUGAAUGCACCUCGCUAGGGCUCUGUUAUCAUUCCUCUCCCUCUGCAACUGCCUCCACACCUUCCAGUACCUGAAAACUUUAACCUGAACAAGAAACACAAACACAAGUGAAGUGGACACUGACACAAGAGAGGGUAUCCACCAUUUUCUGCAAGUAUGCUCUCUGCUGUUGACAGAAGAGGUAAACAACAUGGUUAAAAAGAUCCCAUGGAAGAGUAAAAAGAAACAACAAAGUUGGAAGAUUUCACGUCUGGUAGAAUCCAUUCUAGACUCUUUCACAGCAAUUCGGCGGCAGAAAAGAUCCUCUUCUCUUUGCCAGAGCUUGAGAAGCAGCAGAUGGCCAGGACUAUGGGAGAUUUCUGUUAGUGGGUGGUUCUGAAUUGCUGUGACUGUGUUCAUAGCACACAGAAGCUUGUGUUGGUGUUCUUCAUCUACUGGAAUUUCUACGAUAUGAGCAUCUUUCAUUACAGCCAUUCUCGAACCAAAAUUAAACAAAAACUGAACAGAUUCGGUAAAGCAAACUAGAAAAUAAUGAUGUGAGCAUAAACAAAAUAGGAAACAAAAAGUAAUUGAAUUUCGAUACGUUGGAAUUUGGAAAUGAUGAAAUCUCA